UUUUAUUUAAAUAUUUUUACAACAACAUGAUAACUACCACCCCUCUGAGUCGUUUAUAUGGCGCACCGUUAACCCCGCUAAAUAAAUAACUUAAAACAAUAGUUCUUUACUUUUAUAUAUAUAUAUAUAUAUUAUCUUCCUAGGUUUUAUCCCCGGCCGUGACAACGGACACAAGAGUGAGUAAUAACACGAAGCGACUCCUGUCUGAUAAGUCAGUCAGUCAGUCAACGAGAGGAUGAUACAGCUCUGAUGCCGCUCUGCAGCUUAAUUUAAAAGAGUGUCUAAGACACCUUUCUUGAGCUACCAAAGUACCUUAUAUAUUUAUACAAUAGCCUUUGUCCGUAGGUUCACAUAAGUGCUGAUUUACAAAAAAACAUUUGAGUCACACAUUAUUUUUUAAAUACACAUAUCUAAAUUUACAAAAAUAAAGGAUUUGAUCAAUUCACCUAACAAUGUAUCAUUCAUUCUAUUACUAACUAAAAAUUAAACAACAAUAAAAGCAAGUUAUUGAUAAACCAAUGAGCACUAACGGAGUCAGGAUAGAACUAUUAAGGUGAGAAAUUUAAUCUAUGUAUGUACGAGAAAUCUGAGGUAUUCAACGAGAAACUACAAUCAUGGCCCUAACAAUAUCGGAUUGGAGUCAAGUAAACAAUUAAAAACCAAAUGGUAAAUUUCAUGUUUCUCGUACUGUUUCUCGUCUAUAUCACGAGAAACGCUAAAUACUCUUAAGAAAUUUAUAUUUAUCAAUAUCCGUAUGCAUAAAAAAUAUUU
rnacentral:lncRNA from 1 species